rnacentral:pre_miRNA from 1 species
CCUGUAUCUAAGUCUCGCCCUUUGGAAGGAAGUUCCUUACCAGUUUCUCAGAAAAAGCCAUUUCUAGCAUGAGAGUAUAGAGUUGAUUUCCCAGGUGAGAUUAUUUUUUAAAUUAUUAUCAUCAUCAUUAUUGUAAGAGGCACUGCAUGACAGAAACAUCAAUAGCAUUUGUUCAUAAUAGACUAACAGAUUCAACAUGGCCUAUUUCUUAUACACCUUGGGAUGAAGUCUGAAGCUAUGACAUUAUACAAUGGGUAGAAAUGAUACAAUCCUUUGCAUGGCCUCUUGGUCUUCUGUCUUGAUCCCAUUGAUAGACUUCAGAGGUGCAGGGGACUGUGAAGUGAUCUUCCAUGAAGGUUGUUUUCUCUAGGAAGCGUUUUGUUAAAGAACUGGAAAAGCAGAGAUUGUAUGGGUCUACUCUAAUGAAAACUUUGGAUUCUAGGGAAUGAGGUACUUCCUUGACGUUGAUACCAUUUCCUCUGAGUGGUUUCCAUUCAUUUAGGCAAGUUCUGACAUGCAGGUUGUUGCAAACAGCUAGUUUGGGAUAUUGGUACUGUUCCUGGGUUUUGGGCCUUAUACCAUGGGAGAGAGUUCAGAUUAGUAUUUUUUCAUUAAUAUUCUGCCUAUUGAGUUUGUAUACGUUUAUUUUCUGGUAGAGGCAGCUCCAAGAGUAGGCCUACCUAAGAGAUAUCCUCAUCUUAUUAAUUGUUAUAGCCUUAAGAAUGGAUGUCUUAGUAAGUCUGAGCUGCUGUAAUGAAAGGUCAUUGACUGGGUGGCUUAAAAACAGCAAAUUUAUUUCUUACAGCUCUGAAUGCUGGGAAUUCCAACCUCAAAACACCAGCAGAUUCAGUGUCUGGUGAGGGCCUGCUUCCUGAUUCAUAGAUGGCUUCCUUCUCACUGUGUCCUCACAUGGCAGAAGAGACAAGGCAGCUCUCUGGAGCCUCUUUUACAAGGGCAUGAAUCCCAAUUAUGAGGACUCUACUCUCAUGAAAUAGUCACCUCCCAAAGACCCCACCUUCUAAUACCAUCUCCCUGGGAAUUAGGAUUUUAACAUAUGAAUUUUGAGGGGACCAUAAACUUUCAGACCAUGGCAGUGGGUUUUAAAAGGGCAAGAAAGUAUCAUUUCAUCUCCAGAAUUUCUGUGUGGCUACCAUGGAGGCAUUUGGUAGGUGGAGGAUCAUAGAGAACUGAGAUUUGGGAACAGGAAAGGUUAUACAAGAAACUAUGCAGAAAAUGGCAGUUUGAAUCCUAAAAGUAUUUAGAGGUUUUAAAACUGCAAAACUCCAGCUCUUGAGAAUGCAGCCAGAUAGAAGAAAAAAGCACGUAUGUAUAUGUGUGUGUGGCUUAUCCUCCCUGAGUGCCUGCUGGCCUACUCAUGUGCCAUUCUCAGUGAUAAGUCCUUUGCAUGUGUCACACAACUAAUGAUGGAGAGUCGGGAUUCAGACCCCAGGAAUUUGACUUAAGAUCUCAUGUUCUUAACCACUUUCCCAUACUGGCUCCUUCAUGGCAAAAAGGCUCAUGACAAGGAAAAAAACCUAUCACAAAGUCUGUGUACCAAGAUGCAAGCAUUGUACUUCUGUGUGUAAAGAGACAGUAUCUGCACACCUUACUUAGAUCCUUUUCCCUCUUACUCUGAGACACAAUAUCAACAAAAUUGGUAAUCUUUAUAUCCCAUGUCUCAGUAUGUGAAGAGUAUUAACUAGGAGAAUUUCAAGUAGAGGCCAGCUGGUAACUACCAGCUACAUGAAAGGCUGAUGGAGAGGAGGGAUCAGAACUUGAACUCCCAAAAGGUAGUAGUCUGGGAUGAUGUGUUCUGGGUAUGAUCUGCUAUACCUCACAGUUGGUCCUGGGAUAUCAUCUUGUCACAGACAUCACCAAGCAUUGGUAUUUUUAAGAACGAGCUAGACUCAGUAAUAAAAGAUUCGAAGAUAUCAGUUAAGAAUGUAGGAAGCAGAAUGAUUUGUUUGAGAAACCUUUUUCAUCCAAGGUUAAAAUAAUGUAACUGAACACAGUAGUAAAAUUUAAAGGAUGAAGUUCCAUUUAUCUGGAUACCUGUACACAAUAAAUGCUUCAUGUCCUAAUCAACCCAAUCCUGAGUGCCUUUUCUGGAUCAUUUUCAGGAGAGGGCUCUAUUUUUUUUUUUUUUUUAACCUGGCUCCGGUACCUACAUCUUUCGUCAUCAGGUGCCUGUCAUUAAAGGGAAUUCACUUUAUUACUCACUGCUCAUGUCUUUUUAAAUUUUCAAUAGUCGGAGCUUCAUUAGAAAUGACAAUAUUUGGGCAGGUAGGGUUUUAUGGAAGAGUGGAAAGGAGACGUGAAUGAAGGAGGAAAGAAGAUAUCUCCUUCAAAUAGAAUGAGCCCAUUUCUGUCACUGAGAGGGCACUGCCAUUUGACAGCAUUGCUGAACUUGUCCCCACAUCUCAGGUUUCAUUAGAGAAACAGAUAACUUUACUUGCCAAAAAUAAUUUUUUUUUUAGAUUGGCUUUUAGAAAAGAUAAAAUAAGGCAUGAUUUUCUUGUUAAAGUUCAUAUUAGUCUAUUUAUUGUUUAUCUCCUUUUUAUAAAAUAAAUUACUUUUAAACACCCCUGCUAAUAUUUCAGGAUAUUAUUCACUUACGUAGAGGUAGUUGUGUUCCCAUUUUGCUUCUGUUCCAUUUCCUGGUGUUAUUCAUGUGUGAAGAGAAUCUUUUUGGCUGGGUUGGCCUGCCUCAAAGCUGCUCCAAACUUAUAAUUCACCAAAAGUGACAUCAUCCCAGCCACCACCAAAGAAUUAUGAUUGGAGUCGAGGCAUUGCCCAUGGAACACAUAACUCUGCAGUGGUUUCCCCUACAAAAUGUCAGCCACUCUUACGAUGGAAUGUGCCCUUGCCUGCUGUGGGCACCGCUCAAAUCUAACCCAUCAUUUUUCUUUUCAUUUUGAUUCACUUUUCCUUUCAGAGAUUCAAACAAAAAGAAAAAUGGGAACUGAAAAAAUUUGGGGUUUUUGAGGGGUGAGGGAGAGACCUUAUGGUAGAAAAUAAAGUGUUUUUUUUGAUAUCUGAAAUUUUAUAUGCUCAAUUUAAAUGUUUUAUUGCGUUUGUUUUUUCCAACCUGUGGAAACCCCUUAAAUUCUUACUGAAUGCAUAGAUCUUUUAUUUGCAUGAAUGUCCUGUAUGCCGGAAGACUAAGUGGGAGCACUGAAUGCUUUGAAGUUCUGUGCCUGUGAGACUUGGGUAUUUUAAUACAUUGUUACCCUAUUGCAUCAAAUCACGCCUAGGGAUGCAUUCAAUAAAGACUGCCCCCUCCCCGCUUAGCUGCGCUGGGACUCCCUUCUGGAGGGCCAGAGUUUCUACUUUGUUUCUACUUUGACUCCUAAAAUGAGGACUGAAGGGAAAGCAGAUGGCAUUUUGUACCUCUGACAAUGAAGCCUAAAUUGUUUACGUUGGAGAGGGAGUGGGAGAUAAGCUAAAGAAUGUGAUUUGUCUUCCAUUUGAAGAUACCAGGGAAAAGUCUUGUCAAGUAGCAGGCCACCGGUGUCUAGUGUAGAGGAGACGAUUUCUGUCGAUAGAGAGCAAAGCCAGCCAGGCAAACGAACCCGUAAGCCGCCUGAGGGACAGACAGGCAUAAAACCUAAUGAAUGGGUAGGUAGACUUUGGGCAAGGCUAAUUGCAGCAAGCUGUGUUCAGUUCCCCGGCCUCUGUUAAGUAGUCAUUUUUAUACAAUCUGUCGGAGGGAAGAGGAAAUAGACCCACACGGUAAAUGAACUUGUGGUGUUUAGCUAGGAAGUGGAGUUUGCUCUAAGUAGCUCUGGUAGCAGACUCCAGGGAGCACAUGGCAGGCGGACUCAUCUGAGUAUCUGUGCUGAGGAGUUGUGUUAAACUGUUGAAACACUUAGAAAUUGCUAUAGAAAAAGAGUACUCCCAAAGUUGCCAGCUAAUAUGGUACCGAAUUUCCUGAAAGACCUUUCUUUUGCCAUGUGGUUUUUCUAUAAAGCUGAGUCAAUUAGGCUUCUUUAUCUCCCUGUCCUUGGCAAUAAAACGACAAAAGCCGAGGGUUGAACAGGUAGACACUGUUAUCUCACUGAAUCUUCACCGCUGCCCUAUGAGGUGGCUAUUGUUACUCUCCCCAUUCUAUAGAUGAGGACACUGAGCCACAGAUUGGUUGAGUAACUUGCUCAGGCUCACACAACUAGCAGGUGAUAACAGCUGAGGUGAAAGAACAUUUUUUCUGGGAAGAUACAGGG